AAAGCAGAUUGAGCAUUAGAACUGUACGUCUUUCAAGGAAUGACAGGCUGAACAGACAGACUGCAGCCCAGACUGAAUGCAGUACAGUCUUGCCUUGUGGGGGCAAGGGCAACUGUGUCCCCAUCUCCCCUCUUGAAGCGAGCCAACGGACAGUCAUUCCUUCAUUCGUCCAUUCAAGCCCUGAAUUGCUCCUUCUGGGUCGCCAUUGGUGAGGAGACAGAGGUCGUCCACAGAAGAGGUGUCUAUGCGACCCCGCCAGACGAACAGACUCGGCUUUGUCUGGCUCCCUGACAAACCGCCGGGGCCACCCAGGGUCAUUAGUCAUCAGGGGGGAGAUGACACACUCAUCGAGGAGAUGGAGCAGCUCCUGGAAAGAGAGUGUGUGCGAGGCCGGGGUCGAAGAGGCGUCGCAUCCCGUGAUGAUGUGUUGAGUUUGUCACAGUAUGUUAAGCGGAUCAUUAUCUUGUUAUCUACCUGGUUUCGGAGUGGGAUAGUGUCACAUCGAUUUCAUUUUUUUUUUUUUUUUCUCUCAUUUCAUUUUACUGCCCCAUCGACAGGCAGGCUUGACCAAUGAUCUUGGAGGAGCCGUACUCGCCGCUUGCCACUGUUGGCAUUCAUUUAUUAGAUUUCUCUGAUGGACUAACAGCCACGUGAGGAAAUAUAAACUCCUGCCAUUACCAGAAAGCUGAGAGCUAUUGAUAAAGGACGUUUCUCAGAGGGGAACGGAUCUCCUCUUUUGUAGCAUUCCCCAAAGCAACAUGAGCACUAUCACAGAGAGAGAGAGAGAGAGAGAAUUAUAGUUUAAAGGCGAAAGAAGAAGAAGAAGCAGGCUUAAGAAUAAUGAAGAGACGCAUUAGAGGGGUGGAGAAGGAUUUUAAAAAUAAGUAUGUCUAACAGGCAUGUAAUGAUAGGGGAAGAGAGAGAAAGAGAGAGAGAAGAGAGAGAGAGUGAGCAGAGUGUGCAAAUGGUUAGAAAGGGAGAGAGAAAGGGAGAGGUGAACCCAAGAGACAAUCUUGCUUUUUUUCCUCUUGCUCUCUCACUCAC
ensembl:lncRNA